UACGUAGGGGGCUAGCGCUGUCCGGAAUCAUUGGGCGUAAAGCGCGCGUAGGCGGCCCGGUAAGUCCGCUGUAAAAGUCAAAGGCUCAACCUUUGAAUGUCAGUGGAUACUGCCGGGCUAGAGUCCGGAAGAGGCGAGUGGAACUCCUGGUGUAGCGGUGGAAUGCGCAGAUAUCAGGAGGAACACCGGUGGCGAAGGCGGUUCUCUGGGCCUUACCUGACGCUGAGGAGCGAAAGCAUGGGGAGCAAACAGG
rnacentral:rRNA from 1 species